rnacentral:tRNA from 1 species
GCCUGGCUUGCUCAGUCGGUAGAGCAUGUGACUCUUGAUCUCAAGGUCGUGAGUUCAAGCCCCAUGCUGGCUG